rnacentral:rRNA from 1 species
AUUGAACGCUGGCGGCAGGCCUAACACAUGCAAGUCGAACGAGUGGCAGACGGGUGAGUAAUGUCUGGGAAACUGCCCGAUGGAGGGGGAUAACUACUGAAAACUGUAGCAAAUACCGCAUACCAUCGGAUGUGCCCAGAUGGGAUUAGCUAGUAGGUGGGGUAAAGGCUCACCUAGGAGACGACCCCUAGCGGGUCUGAGAGGAUGACCAGCCACACUGGAACUGAGACACGGUCCAGACUCCUACGGGAGGCAGCAGUGGGGAAUAUUGCACAAUGGGCGCAAGCCUGAUGCAGCCAUGCCGCGUGUAUGAAGAAGGCCUUCGGGUUGUAAAGUACUUUCAGCGGGGAGGCGUUACCCGCAGAAGAAGCACCGGCUAACUCCGUGCCAGCAGCCGCGGUAAUAC